CAGCUCGUGCUCCGAGUGCACCGGCCCCUCGGAGUCAGACUGUGGGUCCUGCUCGCACCUGGCGGCUCUGCUCCAACUCGGACGCUGCGUCUCUCAGUGCGGGGACGGCUUCUACAGCCAGGACGGCGUCUGCUACGCCUGUGACCCGUCCUGCGAGUCCUGCUUCCCCGAUAACCCGCUCUGUGCCAGCUGCCCCCAGGAGCCGCACUGCAUCAUGGGAAAUGUAUUUCAGAGUGUCCUCCACAGCACUACAAGGACGGCCACAGCAGAUGCAGAGCCUGUCACGGCUCCUGCUCGUCCUGUUGGGGCCCCUCCGUGUCUCAGUGCUCGGUUUGUCCCAGCAACCUGUUCCUGCUGCAGGGACAGUGUGUGGAGAGCUGUGGGGAGGGGAUGUACCCGCACGACCAGU
rnacentral:lncRNA from 1 species